rnacentral:rRNA from 1 species
GUGUCAGCCGCCGCGGUAAGACGUAGGAUGCAAGCGUUGUCCGGAUUUAUUGGGCGUAAAGAGUUCGUAGGCGGUUCGUUAAGUCUGGUGUUAAAGAUCGGGGCUCAACCCCGGGAGUGCACUGGAUACUGGCGGACUCGAGUGUGGUAGAGGCAAGUGGAAUUCCCAGUGUAGCGGUGAAAUGCGUAGAUAUUGGGAAGAACACCGGUGGCGCAAGCGACUUGCUGGGCCAUUACUGACGCUGAGGAACGAAAGCUAGGGGAGCGAAUGGGAUUAGAUACCCCUGUAGUCC